rnacentral:rRNA from 1 species
AGAGUUUGAUCAUGGCUCAGAUUGAACGCUGGCGGCAGGCCUAACACAUGCAAGUCGAACGGUAACAGGAAGCAGCUUGCUGCUUUGCUGACGAGUGGCGGACGGGUGAGUAAUGUCUGGGAAACUGCCUGAUGGAGGGGGAUAACUACUGGAAACGGUAGCUAAUACCGCAUAACGUCGCAAGACCAAAGAGGGGGACCUUCGGGCCUCUUGCCAUCGGAUGUGCCCAGAUGGGAUUAGCUUGUUGGUGGGGUAACGGCUCACCAAGGCGACGAUCCCUAGCUGGUCUGAGAGGAUGACCAGCCACACUGGAACUGAGACACGGUCCAGACUCCUACGGGAGGCAGCAGUGGGGAAUAUUGCACAAUGGGCGCAAGCCUGAUGCAGCCAUGCCGCGUGUAUGAAGAAGGCCUUCGGGUUGUAAAGUACUUUCAGCGGGGAGGAAGGGAGUAAAGUUAAUACCUUUGCUCAUUGACGUUACCCGCAGAAGAAGCACCGGCUAACUCCGUGCCAGCAGCCGCGGUAAUACGGAGGGUGCAAGCGUUAAUCGGAAUUACUGGGCGUAAAGCGCACGCAGGCGGUUUGUUAAGUCAGAUGUGAAAUCCCCGGGCUCAACCUGGGAACUGCAUCUGAUACUGGCAAGCUUGAGUCUCGUAGAGGGGGGUAGAAUUCCAGGUGUAGCGGUGAAAUGCGUAGAGAUCUGGAGGAAUACCGGUGGCGAAGGCGGCCCCCUGGACGAAGACUGACGCUCAGGUGCGAAAGCGUGGGGAGCAAACAGGAUUAGAUACCCUGGUAGUCCACGCCGUAAACGAUGUCGACUUGGAGGUUGUGCCCUUGAGGCGUGGCUUCCGGAGCUAACGCGUUAAGUCGACCGCCUGGGGAGUACGGCCGCAAGGUUAAAACUCAAAUGAAUUGACGGGGGCCCGCACAAGCGGUGGAGCAUGUGGUUUAAUUCGAUGCAACGCGAAGAACCUUACCUGGUCUUGACAUCCACAGAACCCUGUAGAGAUACGGGGGUGCCUUCGGGAACUGUGAGACAGGUGCUGCAUGGCUGUCGUCAGCUCGUGUUGUGAAAUGUUGGGUUAAGUCCCGCAACGAGCGCAACCCUUAUCCUUUGUUGCCAGCGGUCCGGCCGGGAACUCAAAGGAGACUGCCAGUGAUAAACUGGAGGAAGGUGGGGAUGACGUCAAGUCAUCAUGGCCCUUACGACCAGGGCUACACACGUGCUACAAUGGCGCAUACAAAGAGAAGCGACCUCGCGAGAGCAAGCGGACCUCAUAAAGUGCGUCGUAGUCCGGAUUGGAGUCUGCAACUCGACUCCAUGAAGUCGGAAUCGCUAGUAAUCGUGGAUCAGAAUGCCACGGUGAAUACGUUCCCGGGCCUUGUACACACCGCCCGUCACACCAUGGGAGUGGGUUGCAAAAGAAGUAGGUAGCUUAACCUUCGGGAGGGCGCUUACCACUUUGUGAUUCAUGACUGGGGUGAAGUCGUAACAAGGUAACCGUAGGGGAACCUGCGGUUGGAUCACCU